rnacentral:tRNA from 1 species
GCUAGGUAACUGGUUCCACUUGUAAUGGAGAGGUCCCGGGUUCGAUACCCGGACCAGGCG